rnacentral:rRNA from 1 species
UACGUAGGGCGCGAGCGUUGUCCGGAUUUAUUGGGCGUAAAGAGCUCGUAGGCGGCUUGUCGCGUCGACUGUGAAAUCCCGCGGCUCAACUGCGGGUCUGCAGCCGAUACGGGCAGGCUAGAGUUCGGUAGGGGAGACUGGAAUUCCUGGUGUAGCGGUGAAAUGCGCAGAUAUCAGGAGGAACACCGAUGGCGAAGGCAGGUCUCUGGGCAUUAACUGACGCUGAGGAGCGAAAGCGUGGGGAGCGAACAGG